rnacentral:rRNA from 1 species
UGGGGAUGACGUCAAAUCAUCAUGCCCCUUAUGAUUUGGGCUACACACGUGCUACAAUGGACAAUACAAAGGGCAGCAAAACCGCGAGGUCAAGCAAAUCCCAUAAAGUUGUUCUCAGUUCGGAUUGUAGUCUGCAACUCGACUACAUGAAGCUGGAAUCGCUAGUAAUCGUAGAUCAGCAUGCUACGGUGAAUACGUUCCCGGGUCUUGUACACACCGCCCGUCACACCACGAGAGUUUGUAACACCCGAAGCCGGUGGAGUAACCAUUUGGAGCUAGCCGUCGAAGGUGGGACAAAUGAUUGGGGUGAAGUCGUAACAAGGUAGCCGUAUCGGAAGGUGCGGCUGGAUCACCUCCUUU